CGUCGCCGCGCUCUUGCUUGACAGCCACCACGAAGCCACCAUGCUGUCCUGGAGCCUUGCCGCUCGCCGGCCUGGAGCCACGGGAAGCCAGGGUCACUCCCACUCCCCACCCCCGACGACGGAUUUGGCAGCAAGGGGCCUGAGUCAUCAGAAGAGGGCUCUGAGAGGGGCCCCGAGUUCCGCGGCUGUUUUCACCUCCAAAGAAACUUUCCCGGACCUCUCGGCUGCUACGACGCUCCAACCAACCGCCGGGAGCCCGCCCCUGCCUCCCGCUCCGCCCUGCACCGCCCCCGACAUGCUAAUAACGACUCGGCGAGCGAUCGGAUUGGGUAUACCCUUCCCUUGGGGCGUGACCAUGCAGAUGAAGGUCGGCGCGCCCGUUGGUAAUUGGCUGCGAUAGCCACUGAGUCGCGUGGGAGGUUUCGCCGGGUGGAGCCUCUUAAAGGGCCAGCAGGAGCGGCUCAGACGACUCCUCCCCUGCUGAAGGCGAGACUCCCCGCCCCUGCAGGAUCCGGAGACCUGUGAGGCCGAGUCCGGCCCCGCCCUAGUUGUCAUGGGGACGGUAGUAGGUUGCUAAGUAAGGGGUUAAGGUCUUUUGGAGCAGUCCCUUUCUCCACUGCAAGGUGGGACCUGUUCUUAGCAGACCGGUGGCGAAGUUUCCCGUUUAUUGACUGGCUUAAAGCCCCCAACGGGGCCGUGCCCCGCCCUGCAUGCAGGGGCUACCCUCCCUCCUGUGAAAGGGCUUUCUCUCCUAUGCAAUGGAAGCUUUGCACAGGGUCCACGUCCAGAAGGUCGCAUGCGACGAGGCUGAGACCAGGAACUGGGCUGGAAGCAACUAGGAAGAAUGUGUUGGGGACAAGAAAGCUGCGAGGACCUCGUGAAGAUGGAGGGCCAGGAGACCCUGCUCUGGGAUCUUGGGGACCCCCAGGCAGCAGCCUGGUCCUCUUACAGCCUGGACUGUGUUUCCUCUGACCCCAGGAUAACUGUGGUCACUGGAUGCUCCUGAUGGCCCAUUAGACCCCAAACAAUCUACCCACAGCACUUUCCUGCUCUCGCCUCCUUGCAUUUUCCUCCUCACUUACUCCGGCGACCUCAACGUUCCUUAGAUAUGUCCAUUUCAUUCAUUCCCACCUCUGGACCCUUGCACUUGCUCUUAAUGCCCUUUCCCAGAUUAAAUGUCCCCGUUUCCAGUGAGACAUUCCCAGGCUUGUACCGUACCCCAUACACCCCAUCUUAUCUUUGCUCCAUAUGUUCAUUUCCUCCCUAUAAGCUGCCUGUUUGCUCAUUGCUAUAUUGCCAGCACCCAGAACAGUGCCCACAGGUGCUGUUAAUGCAUAUAUAUUGAAUAAACAAAUGUGUAAUGUAAAUUUCUAACAGGCCGGUGCAGCAGCUUUGGAAAACAGUCUGGCAGUUCUCCAAAAGGUUAAAAAAACAGAACACAGAGUUACCAUGCGAUGUACCCAGGAGUUAAAGAAUGGGCUUGCAAUGGGAGCCCCAGGUUCAAUCCCUGGAUCGAGAAGAUUCCCUGGAGAAGGAAAUAGCAACCCACUCCAGUAGAGAAAAGCGCCUGCCAAGCUACAGUCUAUGGGGUCACAAAGAGUCGGACAGGACUCAGAGACUAAACCACCAGCAUCCAGGAAUUACCAUGCCAUGCAUCCACUGCACUCCUAGGGACAUAUCCAAGGGAAUUAAAAACAUAUCCACACAGAAACUUGUACAUGAAUGUUCACGGCAGCAUGAUUCACAAUAGUGCAAAAGUGGAAACAAACCCAAAUGUCUAUCAGCUGAUGAAUAGGUAAAUACUGUGGGCCAGCCAUCCAAUAGAAUAUUCUUGACCAUAAAAAGGAAUAAAUUGCUAUGUCAUGCUAGGACAGGGAUAUGCCUUGAAAACAUUAGGCUCAGUGAAAGAUGCCAGUCACAAAAGGCCACACAGUGUAUGGUUCCAUUUAUAUGAAUUUUCCAGAACUGGCAGCUCCAGAGAGACAGGAAGUGGAUUAGUGGUUGCCUGGGGCUAGAACGUCAGCGGGCAGGGGCAAAGGUCACUGGGUUUCUUUUGGGGUGAUCAAAACGUUCUAAAAUUAGACUGCUUUGAUGGCUGCAUAACUCCAUAAAUGUACUAAAGCUCACACAAUUGUACACUUUACACAGGUGUGUUAUCUGGUAUGUGAAUUAAAUCCCAAUGAACCUGUUUCUCUAAGAGGCAUCCCAGAGCUGAGGAAGAUAAGCUGUGCCCUGGAAUCUUGACAGACCCAAAUUCCACACCCUGCUCUGUUGCUUCAUCAGAUGUGGGACUUCCCACACCUGCUUGCCUCUCUCUGCUGGGUUAGAAAGUAUCUAGGUGGGAAUUCCAGCUAGGAGAAUAGGAAAGACCCACCCUCCAGGCCCUGCCUCUUUGGCUUGAUUGACAAAGCUGAUGUUGCCAUAGAAACCUGUCCUUCCACUCCCAAGUUACCACACAAGGAAUUCAGGGGUCUUCCCAUGCAUGGAAAAGAAAUGAAAGGUCUUGAGGUUGAUUUUUUAAAAAUUUUUAUUGGCAUAUAGUUGAUUUACAAUGUUGUGUUAGUUUCAGGUUUACAGCAAAUUGAAUCAGUUAUACGUAUACAUAUAUCCACUCUUUUUUAUUUUUGUUUUUUUUCCACUCUUUUUUAGAUUCUUUUCCUGUACAGGCUAUUACAGAGUAUUGAGUAGAGCUUCCUGUGCUGUACAGUAGGUCCUUAAUUGUUAUCUAUUUUAUAUACACUAGUGUAUAUAUCAAUCCCAAUCUCCCAACCUAUUGAUGUCGAUUUUGAAAGCAGUUUGGAGCUCCUUGGCAUCAGGACAAAUUUCUUGCUGCGUGGGGAUUUUCUGGGAAAAACAAAAGUGUCUUGAAUCCAAAUGGCAUUGCAUCCACUCCAAUGCAUGUGAUCCAGACACACACCCGUCCCCAAGAAACAACAUGUAAGAAGCAGCAUUUCUACUGUUUGACUUUAUAUCUUUCAUUCUUUGAUCUAAAAGCAGAUCCUUUGGCCCCCAAAGUAUAAAUAGGUUUUUCCUUAGCCACAAACUUCUCCCAAGUCCUAGCUCUCAAUAAAUCCAGGUUCUCUAGCUGUCUAACCUCAUAUAAUUUCAUGUUAGUUUCUUUGCAUUCAU